CCUUCUGAAAACCGUGGUCUCUGAAUGCCUUCACUGUGCGAGAAAACUCAUGUGCUCUGGGCUCAGAGCAUCAGGAGGACCUGAGGUCUUGGUAGAAAUGUAGAAUUGCAAGUUCCACCCCAGGCCAGGUGAAUCAGAGUCUGCAUUUCAAACAAGAUUCCCAGGUGGCUCGUGUGCAUAGUAAAGUCGGGAAGCUCUAGGGUUUUCACUGAGAGCAGAAUGUUACAUGUCUUUCUCCGUGGUAUGUGUGCACCAGGCCAAGAUGACAGAGGUACAUGAGCUUUGUGGAAUUUAUUUGGAAGCUCUAGCAAAGGAUCAUGGGGAUGUGGCGUAUCUUGACCAAAGAAGAGUUUUUCAGUUCCGCUGGAGAGGGCCGUUCUCUCCUCACAAGCACGCAGCUUUGAGAAGGUGCAUCUGGAAUGUUGAGGAAGCCAAGUCUCAAAAGGGCCCAAAGUGGUUUCUAAAUAUCUACAUCCUUGGUGCCUCCAAAUUCUUCAAGCCUUCAGGAUCAUUCUUCUUUUAAAAUUUAAAUGCAGAUUACUCCAGCCUACCUCACACUCCAUGUGUAAGAGAAAUCCAACAUUUCAGACUCUGAGACUUCCAUCUCUCCAUUCUUCUGAUUUCCUGUUUCUACCAAGUUCUCGAGCAGGUUCUCGUCACAUCUCUUCACCCCACCCCACCCUAAUGGUGACUCCCAGCCCCCUUUCCACUGAUCCAUACAGCUCCUGUUAAUACCAGGCUGUCUUGACUGUAUCCGAGUUGUCCUGAAGGUUUGAGGGUAACGAGGAGCUCACAUCCCACUUGGCAGAGAAAUUUUAAAUGGAUACCAGACACUGCUGUUUUUAAAAGUUCCCAGGCCAUUUCUGUCCCUGGGAAUUUCUCACUGGCCGUUUGCUGUCACCAUGAACCGUAGGCGCCUGCCAUUGUCCUCCACCCUCUCAGUCUCCAACUCCUUAGAGCAUUCACCUCACUCCCCGGCUGGCUGCUGCUUGAAACUAAUAUCCCACCAACUGGUUUUCUGCACAGCAAUUAGGUCCCUUCUGUUUUGCCCUGGGCCGCUGCAGCCGUGUCCUGGCCUGGUGGUGCCUCCAUUCACCCCCAGAAAGGUCAUCAAAAUACCUUCAGGCACAAUGAUGCUUCUCUUCCUAAUAAUUCUCCUCUCACCUUUUAUAAAAACAAGGGUUUCCCCCUCUCCUGACUGCUCUUUAACUGAACACAAGCCAAUCUGAGUCUCUCUAGCCUGUGAGACUUUCUUUCUCUCCUGCUGCCUUGAAAAUCAGAGCAGAGGUGCGGAUGCCACAGUGAAGGCACCAGAGCAAGGAUGCUCAUGAGAUGAAUGUGCCUUUGGGUCUAGUUUCAAUUCAAAUGAAUAUUUUUAAAAUCUAAAAUUCAUUUAGCAAAUAAACAUGCUCUGCACAUAAUAGAUAUUUAAUAACUAGAUGAAGAGUGACCAAAUGAACACUAACGAAUAAGCCUCACACCUUAGUUUCACAGCUUGACAACAGAACUAGCAAAAUAAUGAGUGAAAACAAUGAAGGAAAACACGAGCUGGCAUCAGAACGGACCAAGCACAGCCAAAGGAGACCAAGGAAGGAGAAUCAAAUGGCCACAGAAGGAGGUGGAAGAAAAGAUAGCAAAGUCUAGGAAAUUAGUAUUGGUUGGAUAUUUUUUUAAAGUUUAUUUAAUAGAUACCAGGAAGAAAAAAUGUUUUAACAAAUCUUCCGAUCAUUUGCAAAGCGCCGUGAAUGCCAGGGAGCCACAGCGCAGCAGGAGAUGACCUAAAGAACCAGAAGGGCGGUUGUUCCUGGAACAGACCAAGAAAUAUUAGACAAAAAUAUUUCACCAAGGCAGCUCUCCGAAUGAAUACAGAACUGCCCCAGGAGGAGAACAAUGGGAUCACUUAAAAAUGUAUGCAAUUAAAAGCCAGCACGGCCCUCUUUUUAAGACUCCGAAUCUGUGUAUUGCAGAGGCCAGUCCUGCUGUACCACUGCUGUGUUAACUUUUGUUGAGUGACUUUGCCGCAUACAUGGUGGAUCAUGGAAACUGUGGGGCGAAGCCACGCCCCGUCUUCAGCUCUCUUAAUAAAAGACCUUGGUUUACAUAAAGUACACAGUGUGGGCUGACACGUGGAAAAGCAGCUUUCCCACAGUGCCAAUUUAGCUAGAUUUGGAGGACCCAGUUACUUCCCCCCCCCCACCCCGCCCCGGGACUUAGCUGGAGCCCCACUGGAAGCUCUCUUGAUCCCUAGGUAGCACACAGCCCUGCUGAAUGGAAAUGUUGGUUCUCCUCUGACGUGGAGUCCUGCUGGGAUCGCCGCACUCCUCUGUUCACUCACAAAUUUAGCACUUCCCUUUUCUAUGUCAACAAAUCCCAGAUAAUUUUCAUUAUUUCAUUACAUUCUUAAGAGCAAAGGAGUCCAUGCGAAUAGUCCCAGUGACAAGCUGUAAGCACACGAGAGAAGACUAAUUUCCAUAUUAAAUCAAGCACAUUUGUGGGGGCUUAUGCUUUAGAAUGUGCUGUCCUAAUUAUAUUUGUGUACCAUUAUUGUAGAAUUCUUUGUCUGCUCUGAGUUUCUAAAAUGUACUGAAGUGUAUAUUUUUUAAAAACAUAGGUAUAUAUAAAUACACAUAUAAGGAGAAUGCCAUUAUUUUGAAUUCAAAGCAAAUGAAAAUCAACACAUAUACAUUAAAAAAAUUUUUUAAAUAAAAUGAAAAGUGA